AAACUCCGCAAAUUCAUGAAACCCAGUAAAGCUUUUGAUAUACUCUACAACCGGACCCAGCUCCGGGACAUUCCCUACAGCGUGGUCCAGCCGGCGAAUACCAUAGUCAAGUUGGGCUCCCUCAACUGAUUCAAAGCCUGGAAGAAAAACGAAGCAAUUCGAAUCUUUGAGAAAACUCACAAACCGCAAAACGACGUCGCCGUAGAGAUGAACUUCGGCAAUCACAACUUCAUCAUUCAAAAUGACUGGUUCCGAAACGGGUUUUGCCCCAUGAGCAACACAGGUCGAGAAAGCCAAACGCGAAUUUUCAACUUCCAAUGCUAUUGCUCUCACACCGAGCCCGUGGGUAGCCGUGAAGGAUCGGUGGGAAGAAACAGAGAAAGUUGGAAUUGAUGCAGAAGAAGAGGUAGAGAUAGCAGAGGAAUAAGGAGCAGUGAAAAGGAAUUGAAGUUGGGACGAAGAAGAAGAACGAAGAAGAUAAGAAGCAUGGACGGAGUUUCCAGUAGAAAGAUCAGAUAUAGCAGCAAUUGGCAAACCGAGACCCCAUGAAAAGCGACGAGCAGUAUUGGUAGCGUCGCCGCACCAAAAUUCAAUGUGAUGGAAGCGUUUAACAGUGAAGAAAUCUGAACGGGGAUUAGUACGGACAAAAUGGUUGAAACCCACUAGCUUGAAUUUAUCUUCAAUGUCGCCGGGGAGUUGUUGGUCAUCGGCG
rnacentral:misc_RNA from 1 species